GACGAACGCUGGCGGCGUGCUUAACACAUGCAAGUCGAACGGAAAGGCCCUGCUUUUGUGGGGUGCUCGAGUGGCGAACGGGUGAGUAACACGUGAGUAACCUGCCCUUGACUUUGGGAUAACUUCAGGAAACUGGGGCUAAUACCGGAUAGGAGCUCCUGCUGCAUGGUGGGGGUUGGAAAGUUUCGGCGGUUGGGGAUGGACUCGCGGCUUAUCAGCUUGUUGGUGGGGUAGUGGCUUACCAAGGCUUUGACGGGUAGCCGGCCUGAGAGGGCGACCGGCCACAUUGGGACUGAGAUACGGCCCAGACUCCUACGGGAGGCAGCAGUGGGGAAUAUUGCACAAUGGGCGGAAGCCUGAUGCAGCAACGCCGCGUGCGGGAUGACGGCCUUCGGGUUGUAAACCGCUUUCGCCUGUGACGAAGCGUGAGUGACGGUAAUGGGUAAAGAAGCACCGGCUAACUACGUGCCAGCAGCCGCGGUGAUACGUAGGGUGCGAGCGUUGUCCGGAUUUAUUGGGCGUAAAGGGCUCGUAGGUGGUUGAUCGCGUCGGAAGUGUAAUCUUGGGGCUUAACCCUGAGCGUGCUUUCGAUACGGGUUGACUUGAGGAAGGUAGGGGAGAAUGGAAUUCCUGGUGGAGCGGUGGAAUGCGCAGAUAUCAGGAGGAACACCAGUGGCGAAGGCGGUUCUCUGGGCCUUUCCUGACGCUGAGGAGCGAAAGCGUGGGGAGCGAACAGGCUUAGAUACCCUGGUAGUCCACGCUGUAAACGGUGGGUACUAGGUGUGGGGUCCAUUCCACGGGUUCCGUGCCGUAGCUAACGCUUUAAGUACCCCGCCUGGGGAGUACGGCCGCAAGGCUAAAACUCAAAGGAAUUGACGGGGCCCCGCACAAGCGGCGGAGCAUGCGGAUUAAUUCGAUGCAACGCGUAGAACCUUACCUGGGUUUGACAUGGAUCGGGAGUGCUCAGAGAUGGGUGUGCCUCUUUUGGGGUCGGUUCACAGGUGGUGCAUGCCUGUCGUCAGCUCGUGUCGUGAGAUGUUGGGUUAAGUCCCGCAACGAGCGCAACCCUUGUUCACUGUUGCCAGCACGUUAUGGUGGGGACUCAGUGGAGACCGCCGGGGUCAACUCGGAGGAAGGUGGGGAUGACGUCAAGUCCUCAUGCCCCUUAUGUCCAGGGCUUCACGCAUGCUACAAUGGCUGGUACAGAGAGUGGCGAGCCUGUGAGGGUGAGCGAAUCUCGGAAAGCCGGUCUCAGUUCGGAUUGGGGUCUGCAACUCGACCUCAUGAAGUCGGAGUCGCUAGUAAUCGCAGAUCAGCAACGCUGCGGCGAAUACGUUCCCGGG
rnacentral:rRNA from 1 species